rnacentral:rRNA from 1 species
GUGGUUUGUCGCGUCGUCUGUGAAAUUCCGGGGCUUAACUCCGGGCGUGCAGGCGAUACGGGCAUAACUUGAGUGCUGUAGGGGAGACUGGAAUUCCUGGUGUAGCGGUGAAAUGCGCAGAUAUCAGGAGGAACACCGAUGGCGAAGGCAGGUCUCUGGGCAGUAACUGACGCUGAGGAGCGAAAGCAUGGGUAGCGAACAGGAUUAGAUACCCUGGUAGUCCAUGCCGUAAACGGUGGGCGCUAGGUGUAGGGGGCUUCCACGUCUUCUGUGCCGUAGCUAACGCAUUAAGCGCCCCGCCUGGGGAGUACGGCCGCAAGGCUAAAACUCAAAGGAAUUGACGGGGGCCCGCACAAGCGGCGGAGCAUGUGGAUUAAUUCGAUGCAACGCGAAGAACCUUACCUGGGCUUGACAUACACCAGAUCGCUGCAGAGAUGUAGUUUCCCUUGUGGUUGGUGUACAGGUGGUGCAUGGUUGUCGUCAGCUCGUGUCGUGAGAUGUUGGGUUAAGUCCCGCAACGAGCGCAACCCUUGUCUUAUGUUGCCAGCAUUUGGUUGGGGACUCAUGAGAGACUGCCGGGGUUAACUCGGAGGAAGGUGGGGAUGACGUCAAAUCAUCAUGCCCCUUAUGUCCAGGGCUUCACACAUGCUACAAUGGUCGGUACAACGCGCAGCGACACUGUGAGGUGGAGCGAAUCGCUGAAAGCCGGCCUUAGUUCGGAUUGGGGUCUGCAACUCGACCCCAUGAAGUCGGAGUCGCUAGUAAUCGCAG